AUUGAACGCUGGCGGCAGGCCUAACACAUGCAAGUCGAGCGAGCGGCGGACGGGUGCGUAAUGUAUGGGGACUGCCCGAUAGAGGGGGAUAACUCCUGGAAACGGUAGCUAAUACCGCAUACUAUCGGCUACCCCAUAUGGGAUUAGCUAGUAGGGGAGGUAAUGGCUCACCUAGGCGACGAUCCCUAGCUGGUCUGAGAGGAUGAUCAGCCAAACUGGGACUGAGACACGGCCCAGACUCCUACGGAGGCAGCAGUGGGGAAUAUUGCACAAUGGGCGCAAGCCGGAUGCAGCCAUGCCGCGUGUAUGAAGAAGGCCUUAGGGUUGUAAAGUACUGUCAGUAGGGAGGCGUUACCGACAGAAGAAGCACCGGCUAACUACGUGCCAGCAGCCGCGGUAAUAC
rnacentral:rRNA from 1 species